UAACAGCUCAAAUUUGAAAUCUGGCUCCUGCGGAGUCCGAGUUGUAAUUUGUAGAAGAUGCUUUGGGAGGGAGGCUCGGCCUAAGUUCCUUGGAACAGGACAUCAGAGAGGGUGAGAAUCCCGUAUGUGGCCGUGGCCUCCGCCCGUGUAAAGCUCUUUCGACGAGUCGAGUUGUUUGGGAAUGCAGCUCAAAAUGGGUGGUAAAUUUCAUCUAAAGCUAAAUAUUGGCCAGAGACCGAUAGCGCACAAGUAGAGUGAUCGAAAGAUGAAAAGCACUUUGGAAAGAGAGUUAAACAGUACGUGAAAUUGUUGAAAGGGAAGCGCUUGCACCCAGACUUGGGCGUCGUCGAUCAUCCGAGGUUCUCCUCGGUGCACGCGGCGAGGCACAGGCCAGCAUCGGUUUGGAUGGUUGGAGAAAGGCUCUAGGAACGUAGCUCUCUUCGGGGAGUGUUAUAGCCUAGGGCGUAAUGCAGCCCAUCGGGACCGAGGACCGCGCCUUCGGGCUAGGAUGCUGGCGUAAUGGUUGCAAGCGACCCG
rnacentral:rRNA from 1 species